rnacentral:misc_RNA from 1 species
UUUCCGUAGGUGAACCUGCGGAAGGAUCAUUAUUGUAUAACCGAGGUGCGAGGGCUGUCGCUGACCCGAAAGGUCGUGCACGCUCGAGUGCCCUCACACACAUCCAUCUCACCCCUAUGUGCACCACCGCCUGGGUCCCCCUUUGGCUUGUUCGGACGGGGGCUUACGUUUUCACACAAACUUUGUAUGCAGUGUAGAAUGUAUUUUUUGUUUUUGCGAUCACGCAAUCAAUACAACUUUCAACAACGGAUCUCUUGGCUCUC